AUUGCGACACGCGGCCGGACCCCGUCUGGGCCUCCGCCGAACGCAAAGUCAGCGGCAUCCCGUAACGCCGCCAAAAUAAAAAUCAAAUCGGAUCCUUUAAUAUAUAUAUAAAUAAUAAUAAUAAUUUACAUAGCACCCGCCGGAGCCGCCACCACGUGCGCGGAAUGCCUAAUCUCAACUUUUCAAGGCAGGGCGUUGAACAAAGCUCGUAUUUUCGCGAUGCAUUGUAACUUCGCCUUAUCACAGUGUAAAGGGUAGUCAGAUUGUCCUAAAUUAUGUCCAACCAGCCCCCCUGGAUCCACGGAUUAAGAGAUUAAAGGAGACCACUGGGCAAUGCCUCCUCUUUCCCCUUCAUAUUCCUGGUAUGAUAAUUGCCUAAACUGAUUUGCACUUUCACAAAAGCUCGCAGGAUUCUUUGUAGCUCGAACAGAGCAGACGAGGUUUCUCUAUCAAUGGAAAUAAAACUGAUUAAUGCAGUCUAUCAGGCUAAGGAGCAAAUGAAGCAUGAAAAAACAACUGUGUACCCCCAGAAAACCGGCUCGUUUCCUCAAGGACCCCGAGCAACUUUUUUUUUUUUUUUUUUUUUAAGUUUUAGGGCUGUUUUUACUGCAGAGUUUUGCGCAGCGCUCAAUAAAAAAAAAAAAAAAAGCAAGAAAAAAAAAAGAAAAAAAAAUAAGGGGGGAGGGAGGGGAAGAAGGAAAACGUUGCAAAUAAUAAUAUAAAAAAUCACCUCCGCACGCUCAAAUCCAUCGUUCUGCCAAGGAACCUUUGCGUUCUGCCGAGCGCGCAGCGACCCGCGCAACCCUCCCACCAGGUUGUGCCCGGGGAAGGGGCCGGAUUUGGUUUUGUGUCCAAAUGGUUUUGUGCUGUUUUCUCUCUCUCUCUCUCUCUCUCUCUCUCUCGAGGUAUUUAUUUACAGCGAGCAGCGCUGCGCGGCUCGGUUGGAGAGGGCUGUUUCCAAGCGUGUGGGUUCGUGAAGGAAAUGCGCGCACGGCCGCAGGAAUGCGCUGCGCGGGCACCGGAGCGCGGAUCUGAGCGCACGGAUCGAGAGGAGGGGGAAAAGCGAGAGUAGCUCUAUGAUCUCGGAAUAUUAUAAGGUCAGUGCUUGAAAAUUGCCCCAAUGAAAAUGGCCAUUAGGAGAAAAACCAAAC